CUCCAGAGGGGGACCACUGUCAGUAAAGUUAACAGCCUUUAGAAAUGCAGCUGCCUCAUUUGAUUCAGGAAGAAAAACAGUGUGAAAUCAGAUAUAAGUACAUCACAGAUAAUUGACAUCCAGAGUGAUACCCUUCAACAGGAAGUCUUCAGACUGCAAUUUCACUGACACCCACAGGCUCUGGUGGUGAGUCUGCCAACAUAUAUAUGUUCACAUUUGGAGCCUAGCAGUGGGAAGCUUUUGAUGAUGCCUGGAAAACCUCAACGCUCCCUAAAUCCCACUUAAAGCAAUUCAUUUAUAUGAAGUGCAUUUAUCUGUCCACAAUCGUUAUCAAGGAGGAUAGCAUCAGAGGCUUUCUCGACCAUUCACUCUUGGAGUAUUACCAUAACAUCAUUUGAGGUACAAAUGUCUUAAAGCAUCAUUCACUAGAAGAUAAAUGAAGCCCAUGGAAAAGCAGAAAACCUAACAAAGAGUCCUUCCUCACAAAGCAAAUUCACACUUCAAGAAAGUCACACCACUGAAUGGGUGGAAGUUCCUGGCUAAACAUCCGGAACCAAUUUGCUGAGUUUGCCAAAUCAGGUUUUGACAGCAGUGGCCUCUUCUAUAGACAGAAAAUUAUUUUCUUCAGUUCAGUUUAAUCAACUAGCUCAGUUCAAGGACUCAUUCAAAACUGAGAAGCCAAUGGGAAAUUCAAAAAACAGGAAGGCUUGUUUUCCUCCUCUUUUUUUAUGGAUAAAAAUCAGUUGUAAGGACAUAAGCUCUACUCCUUCUAGAAUACUGAACGACAUGGAGACCUGAAAUGAUUGGUUCAGUUGACUAAAAAUGACACUUCAUUUGAUUAAUAAAUCGGCUAGUUUAAAAUAUGAAA